rnacentral:rRNA from 1 species
GGAAUUUUUGUCAAUGGGGGCAACCCUGAACAAGCAACGCCGCGUGAAGGACGAAGACCUUCGGGUUGUAAACUUCUGUCGGAGGGGACGACAGCAUCCGGGGCCAAUACCCCCGGUUGUUGACGGUACCCUACGAGGAAGCCCCGGCUAACUCCGUGCCAGCAGCCGCGGUAAUACGGGGGGGGCAAGCGUUGUUCGGAAUUACUGGGCGUAAAGGGCGCGUAGGCGGGCGGGCAAGUCUCUCGUGAAAGCCCACGGCUCAACCGUGGAACGGCGGGAGAUACUGUUCGUCUUGAGUCCGGGAGAGGAGAGUGGAAUUCCCAGUGUAGCGGUGAAAUGCGUAGAUAUUGGGAGGAACACCGGUGGCGAAGGCGGCUCUCUGGACCGGUACUGACGCUGAGGCGCGAAAGCUAGGGGAGCAAAC